rnacentral:rRNA from 1 species
AUGAACGCUGGCGGCAUGCCUAACACAUGCAAGUCGAUCGGUAAGGCUCUUCGGAGUACACGAGAGGCGGACGGCUGAGUAACGCGUAGGAACACACCCUGCAGUGAGGGAUAAGACACCGAAAGGUGUUCUAAUACCGCAUACGGUCUUCGGAUUAAAGCAUUUAUGCGCUGAAGGAGUGGCCUGCGUCAUAUUAGAUAGUUGGUGAGGUAAUGGCUCACCAAGUCGAUGAUGUGUAGCUGGUCUGAGAGGAUGAUCAGCCAGACUGGAACUGAGACACGGUCCAGACUCCUACGGGAGGCAGCAGUGAGGAAUAUUUCACAAUGAGCGAAAGCUUGACGGAGCAAUGCCGCGUGCAGGAUGAAGGCCCUCGGGUUGUAAACUGCUUUUAUAAGAGAAGAUUAUGACGGUAACUUAUGAAUAAGGGACGGCUAACUACGUG